rnacentral:rRNA from 1 species
UACGAAGGGGGCUAGCGUUGCUCGGAAUCACUGGGCGUAAAGGGCGCGUAGGCGGCCAUUCAAGUCGGGGGUGAAAGCCUGUGGCUCAACCACAGAAUUGCCUUCGAUACUGUUUGGCUUGAGUUUGGUAGAGGUUGGUGGAACUGCGAGUGUAGAGGUGAAAUUCGUAGAUAUUCGCAAGAACACCAGUGGCGAAGGCGGCAUCCUGGACUGGUCCUGACACUCAUGAGCGAAAGCGUGGGGAGCGAUCCGG